rnacentral:lncRNA from 1 species
GUUACACUGCAGGAAUUUAUUGAUUGAUUGAAUUGAUAUGUGUUAGGACUUGUAGUGAAAGGCAAUAUUUAGCCUAGCAUUAAUCCCUUAUGUAUAAUUCAACCUUGGGUAACUAGAAGGUUUAAAAUGUAAACUGCUCAAAUCAUAUGCUCUUAUAAGAGACCUAAUUUAUCGAAUAGUAUGCACCGGUAUUUAGGUUAGCGUUUCCCUUGUAACCCAUGCAAUGGUCUGCCUCUGCAAACAAACCCCCAUCAACAAGGACGUCUGUCUUUCGCAACAUCCAGUCUGACAGUUGCAGCUGUUCUCAUGAACAAAAUCGUCAGGCGCGUGCCAGCAGCUGACGUCUCCAGUCCGGCGCUGAAGCCUGUCUCCAUAUUCUGACAAGACUUAGGACAAAGAUCAUCUCAAGUCUGGACUCGCAGGAAAAUACUGGCAUUUGUUUUACCACCACUUCUAUUUUGGAAAUACUGUGAAAUAAGACUACAAGGUUUUGGUGUUUGUUUUUAAAACACUGGACAUUUCUAAAGCAUACUCAUGUCAUGUCUUGAUGCCUACUGCCAGAUCCUGAAAUAAAGCUGCUUAUUCGGGUAGGCUGUAUCAAAUUUGGUUCAGUCAAGUCUUAAACUGCUAGGCUAUGUUUUGUUCAUUUUCUGAUUUUAAAGACUUAACGUUUAUGUAAGUUUAUUUUAGAAACAUUAGCAUGUUAUCUUGUUUCAGGACCAUGCUGUCAACU